rnacentral:rRNA from 1 species
AACGAACGCUGGCGGCAUGCCUUACACAUGCGAGUCGAACGCGAAAGUGUCUUCGGACAUUAGUAGAGUGGCAAACGGGUGAGUAACGCGUGGGAAACUACCUUAUAGUACGGAAUAGCCUUGGGAAACUGGGAUUAAUACCGUAUAUUCCCUCAGGAGGAAAGAUUUAUCGCUAUAAGAUGUGCCCGCGUCAGAUUAGCUAGUUGGUGGGGUAAUAGCCUACCAAGGCAACGAUCUGUAGCUGGUCUGAGAGGACGAUCAGCCACACUGGGACUGAGACACGGCCCAGACUCCUACGGGAGGCAGCAGUGGGGAAUAUUGGACAAUGGACGCAAGUCUGAUCCAGCAAUGCCGCGUGAAUGAUGAAGGCCUUAGGGUUGUAAAGUUCUUUAAGUGGGGAAGAUAAUGACGGUACCCACAGAAUAAGCACCGGCUAACUUCGUGCCAGCCGCCGCAGUAA